UCAGCUGGCCAAGAGAUUUCUUUCCAAUAACAAAAAAAAAUUUACCAUACGCUGUAACGAUUAAAACGGCAACACUGUGCAGAAAAAAUACCACUCACAGGCUUACAGGUACCCACCAUAUAGUCCUGCGAGGAUAUGUCCAGAUCUUUUAAUUAGAGUUCAACGAUAAUACUAGUCUGGUUCCGGACAGGCUUAUCUUGGAAUUAAUGCUAGCCAAUGGCUAGGAGGCCUUAAGGCGCUUCUGAAAACUAAAUGAAAUUUCUGUUGAGUAUAGCAAACUUUCCAUAGGUCUGUGAAAAAUGACAGCUUCAGAUGUCACAGAAGCAGUACAUCUGGAAUCUAAUGGAAUAGGAUGUGGUUGAUAUACACAGCUUCAGAUGUCACAGAAGCAGUACAUCUGGAAUCUAAUGGAAUAGGAUGUGGUUGAUAUACAUAAAUGGUUUUGCGUCGCUCCGUUGAGGUGAACUGUCGUCAAUAUUUUCUGUCGAAGCGUAGAUACCAAACGCAUGAAUGUGGGGGAGGCGAGCGUGGGAGAGCGAACGCCAGAUUCAACAAGGCCUGAUGCAAUCGCAUGUCAAGUUCCAUUAUCUGCAUCUGUAUCUGUCCCUGCUGUGUGCCUGCACUCAAACAGAAACCUAUUUACACUUGUUGUCGUAUGCAUUAAUUGGUCAUAGCAGCGGCAAAUAAAGUAAAAAAAGAUGGAGAACGGCCAGCGUGUGGGACGGUGGUGCGUCAAUCCAUCGUGUGCAAUGUGGGGGAGGCUGCGCUGCGAAGGGUUAUCCGUCGAGAUGGUUAUUUAUAGCUCUCUAAUUGAGUGAAAGACAGUUGAAAAGUGUUGACACCAUGCCCUACGCUAUGCCUUCCGAUACACAGCUCCAAAGUGCCCAUGAACUGUUGCCAAAACUGUCCAAAACUUUCCCAGCAGUGAAAGAGGGAAUGUUGGACUUGAAGACAGCAGAGAAUUAAGCAUUUAAGAGACCCCCCUCCCCCCAUUUUGAUGGUAUUUUGCAUCCAAUUCCAGUUCACUAAUUAAAUAUUUCAUUUAUAAUUGGCCAAAGACAGCAAGAA
rnacentral:sRNA from 1 species